rnacentral:pre_miRNA from 1 species
AGUAAAAUAUCUGGGUCAAAUGGUGGUUCCAUUCCCAAGAAAUCUUCAUACUGUUUUCCAAAUUGGCUGCACCAUUUUGCAGUCUCACCAGCAAU